rnacentral:rRNA from 1 species
GUGUUGUAAGUGUCUAAGGGCGCACGGUGGAUGCCUUGGCGCAAGGAGCCGAUGAAGGACGUGGGAGGCUGCGAUAUGCCUCGGGGAGCUGUCAACCGAGCUGUGAUCCGAGGAUUUCCGAAUGGGGAAACCCAGCACCAGUCAUGUGGUGUUACCCGCCGUUGAAUAUAUAGACGGUGUGGAGGGAACGAGGGGAAGUGAAACAUCUCAGUACCCUCAGGAAGAGAAAACAAUAGUGAUUCCGUGAGUAGUGGCGAGCGAAAGCGGAUGAGGCUAAACCAUGCACAUGUGAUACCGGGUAGGGGUUGUGUGUGUGGUGUUGUGGGGUUCAUCUUUCCAGCUCUACCUGGCUGGACAGCAGUAAGAAAGUGUCAUGUUAGGUGAAGUGGCCUGGAAUGGUCCGCCGGAGAGGGUGAGAGUCCCGUAACUGAAAACGUGGUGCCUGUUGUGAUGGAUACCCGAGUAGCAGCGAGCCCGUGGAAUUUGCUGUGAAUCUGCCGGGACCACCCGGUAAGCCUGAAUACUACCUUGCGACCGAUAGCGGACAAGUACCGUGAGGGAAAGGUGAAAAGUAC